UCCCUAGAUGUUCUGGGCCGCACGCGCGCUACACUGGACAGUUCAACAAGUCUUAACCUUGGCCGAUAGGUCUGGGUAAUCUUUGAACGCUGUUCGUGACUGGGAUAGACCUUUGCAAUUAUGGGUCUUCAACGAGGAAUUCCUAGUAAACGCAAGUCAUCAGCUUGCAUUGAUUACGUCCCUGCCCUUUGUACACACCGCCCGUCGCACCUACCGAUUGAAUGGUCCGGUGAAAUCUCGGGACGGCGGCUUGGUCGCUUGCGUCCGACUGCUGAAACUUGAUUAAACCAUAUCAUUUAGAGGAAGGUGAAGUCGUAACA
rnacentral:rRNA from 1 species